GUAAAUAAAGUUGGGUCCGUUCGACCCCAUAAAAAUUACAUGAUUUGAGUUCAAAUCGGUGCAAACCAGAUUGGUUUCUAUCUUUAAUAAAAAAUCUUCUAGUACGAAAGGACAAAAGAUACUAUUAAUAAAUUCUAAAUUGGCAGAAAA
rnacentral:rRNA from 1 species